rnacentral:sRNA from 1 species
UCCAUCGAAGGGCAGGCCAAAAGCGGCCC